rnacentral:rRNA from 1 species
CCCAGACUCCUACGGGAGGCAGCAGUGGGGGAUAUUGCACAAUGGGGGAAACCCUGAUGCAGCGACGCCGCGUGAGUGAAGAAGUAUUUCGGUAUGUAAAGCUCUAUCAGCAGGGAAGAAAGAAGACGGUACCUGAGUAAGAAGCCCCGGCUAACUACGUGCCAGCAGCCGCGGUAAUACGUAGGGGGCAAGCGUUAUCCGGAUUUACUGGGUGUAAAGGGGGCGCAGACGGCAGCGCAAGCCAGGAGUGAAAGCCCGGGGCCCAACCCCGGGACUGCUCUUGGAACUGCGCGGCUGGAGUGCAGGAGGGGCAGGCGGAAUUCCUGGUGUAGCGGUGAAAUGCAUAGAUAUCAGGAGGAACACCGGUGGCGAAGGCGGCCUGCUGGACUGCGACUGACGUUGAGGCCCGAAAGCGUGGGGAGCAAACAGGAUUAGAUACCCGGGUAC